rnacentral:rRNA from 1 species
GACGAACGCUGGCGGCGUGCUUAACACAUGCAAGUCGAACGGAAAGGCCCUUCUUUUGUGGGGUGCUCGAGUGGCGAACGGGUGAGUAACACGUGAGUAACCUGCCCUUGACUUUGGGAUAACUUCAGGAAACUGGGGCUAAUACCGGAUAGGAGCUCCUGCUGCAUGGUUGGGGUUGGAAAGUUUCGGCGGUUGGGGAUGGACUCGCGGCUUAUCAACUUGUUGGUGGGGUAGUGGCUUACCAAGGCUUUGACGGGUAGCCGGCCUGAGAGGGUGACCGGCCACAUUGGGACUGAGAUACGGCCCAGACUCCUACGGGAGGCAGCAGUGGGGAAUAUGGCACAAUGGGCGGAAGCCUGAUGCAGCAACGCCGCGUGCGGGAUGACGGCCUUCGGGUUGUAAACCGCUUUCGCCUGUGACGAAGCGUGAGUGACGGUAAUGGGUAAAGAAGCACCGGCUAACUACGUG